GAUGAACGCUGGCGGCGUGCCUAAUACAUGCAAGUCGAGCGAACGGACGAGAAGCUUGCUUCUCUGAUGUUAGCGGCGGACGGGUGAGUAACACGUGGAUAACCUACCUAUAAGACUGGGAUAACUUCGGGAAACCGGAGCUAAUACCGGAUGAUAUUUUGAACCGCAUGGUUCAAAAGUGAAAGACGGUCUUGCUGUCACUUAUAGAUGGAUCCGCGCCGCAUUAGCUAGUUGGUAGGGUAACGGCUUACCAAGGCAACGAUGCAUAGCCGACCUGAGAGGGUGAUCGGCCACACUGGAACUGAGACACGGUCCAGACUCCUACGGGAGGCAGCAGUAGGGAAUCUUCCGCAAUGGGCGAAAGCCUGACGGAGCAACGCCGCGUGAGUGAUGAAGGUCUUCGGAUCGUAAAACUCUGUUAUUAGGGAAGAACAUAUGUGUAAGUAACUGUGCACAUCUUGACGGUACCUAAUCAGAAAGCCACGGCUAACUACGUG
rnacentral:rRNA from 1 species